AGUUAAACUAGGACGCAAAACCUUGUCCUACCCAUUCCCUCUUUAAUGCCUUGUGUUCACUGGCUGAAGAUGUGUUUCCUAUAAGAACACAAUGUCAGCCUUUAAUUUCUUAAGGAGGAGUAGCAAGUAUGCCGGAAGACUCGGAAGAGGCUGCUGAGAGGAACAGUGUGGAACUGUCGUCUGCGUUAUCAGGGCUAAUGCUUAUCUUGCUAGCUGUGGUGGUAUUAUCUUGGGAUUCAACAAAGUUUUGGUCAUCCUUCUUGACUCCCGGCCGGAGGUCCAUGGCUCUUUGGGAAGCCAUCCAGGACUGACUGGAACAGGUUGACCACCAGCUGCACCUCUCCCUUCUGCGUCUCUCCUGCCAGGCUGAUCACCCUGUUCUGGUAG